GGUCUCCAAACACUGCAUCUUUGCGUCGGAGUUUAAACAAAUUAAACAAAACUUUCAACAACGGAUCUCUUGGUUCUGGCAUCGAUGAAGAACGCAGCGAAAUGCGAUAAGUAAUGUGAAUUGCAGAAUUCAGUGAAUCAUCGAAUCUUUGAACGCACAUUGCGCCCUUUGGUAUUCCGAAGGGCAUGCCUGUUCGAGCGUCAUUUCACCACUCAAGCCUGGCUUGGUAUUGGGCGUCGCGGCUCCGCGCGCCUUAAAGUCUCCGGCUGAGCCAUUCGUCUCUAAGCGUUGUGGAUUUUCUAAUUCGCUUCGGAGUGCGGGUGGCCGCGGCCGUUAAAUCUUUAUUCAAAGGUUGACCUCGGAUCAGGUAGGGAUACCCGCUGAACU
rnacentral:rRNA from 1 species